rnacentral:RNase_P_RNA from 1 species
GACUUUGGGUAAUCGAGCACAGCAAUUGUUGUGUUAGGAAGGUCCAUGCUCGCACGAGCUGCGAUGCUCGUAGUGUUUGUGCUCGCUGAAACGAUAAGGCGGGGCACCGAUUUCGGUGACGGCGGAAAAAGCGGCUACGGCUUUGGCUAUGCCCUAGUAUUCCUGAAAAGUGCCACAGUGACGAAGCAGGAUUGGAAACAAUUCUGAUGGAACGCGGUAAACCCCUCAAGCGGUAAACCCAAACUACGGUC